rnacentral:rRNA from 1 species
AGCUCCAAAAGCGUAUAUUAAAGUUGUUGCAGUUAAAAAGCUCGUAGUUGAACCUUGGGCUUGGCUGGCCGGUCCGCCUUCUUGGCGAGUACUGGACCCAACCGAGCCUUUCCUUCUGGCUAACCUUUUCGGAGGUGAACCAGGACUUUUACUUUGAAAAAAUUAGAGUGUUCAAAGCAGGCCUUUGCUCGAAUAUAUUAGCAUGGAAUAAUAGAAUAGGACGUUAUGGUUCUAUUUUGUUGGUUUCUAGGACCAUCGUAAUGAUUAAUAGGGACGGACGGGGGUAUCAGUAUUCAGUAGUCAGAGGUGAAAUUCUUAGAUUUACUGAAGACUAACUACUGCGAAAGCAUUUACCAAGCACGUUUUCA